rnacentral:rRNA from 1 species
UACGGGGGGAGCAAGCGUUGUUCGGAUUUACUGGGCGUAAAGGGCGCGUAGGCGGCCAGUGCAAGUCAGUUGUGAAAUCUCCGAGCUUAACUCGGAAAGGUCAACUGAUACUGCUCGGCUAGAGUGCGGAAGGGGCAACUGGAAUUCUUGGUGUAGCGGUGAAAUGCGUAGAUAUUGGGAGGAACACCAGUGGCGAAGGCGGCUCACUGGACCGGAACUGACGCUGAGGCGCGAAAGCGUGGGGAGCAAACAGG